rnacentral:rRNA from 1 species
UGGGGAAUAUUGCGCAAUGGGGGAAACCCUGACGCAGCAACGCCGCGUGAGUGAUGAAGGCCUUCGGGUUGUAAAGCUCUUUCGGUUGGGAAGAAGGGGGAGUGGUUUAACAAAUCAUUUCUUUGAUGGUACCAAAAGAAGAAGCACCGGCAAACUUCGUGCCAGCAGCCGCGGUAAUACGAAGGGUGCGAGCGUUGUUCGGAAUUACUGGGCGUAAAGGGUUCGUAGGCGGGCAUGCAAGUCAAGUGUGAAAUCCCCAAGCUUAACUUGGGACGUGCAUUUGAGACUGUGUAUCUUGAGUUUCGGAGAGGGUGGUGGAAUUGCUGGUGUAGGAGUGACAUCCGUAGAGAUCAGCAGGAACACCGGAGGCGAAGGCGACCACCUGGCCGAAUACUGACGCUGAGGAACGAAAGCGUGGGGAGCAAACAGG